UGGGCGUAAGAGCUCGCAGGCGGUUUCUCACGUCUGAUGUGAAAGCCCCGGGCUCAACUCCGGAUCUGCAUUGGAUACUGGCAAACUUGAGUGCUGAAGAGGAGACUGGAAUUCCCCGUGGAACGGUGAAAUGCGUAGAUAUGUGGAGGAACACCGAUGGCGAAGGCGACUCUCUGGUCUGUAACUGACGCUGAGGAGCGAAAGCGUGGGGAGCGAACAGGAUUAGAUACCCUGGUAGUCCAUGCCGUAAACGA
rnacentral:rRNA from 1 species